ensembl:lncRNA
GGGACAGAUGCCAUGGCACUUUUAGUUAUCUCCUAUCAAAUAUAUUUAAAAUGUACCCACAUUCUGGUUAUAAACAAAGCUUAAAGAUUUUUAUAAUUUUACUCUAGUCAAAUGUAGUUCAUUUCAUUUAUGAUUGGUUAUAAUUUCUGAGCAAUCAUGUGGACUUGAGAACUCUCAUUGAGAUCUAACCUACAAGUUCUUCUCAAAUGUCACGAGAUGUUUAUGAAUUCCUGCUUUACCAACAAUUCCCCUAACCCUGCUCUAUUUUUUUCUUACAUCAAUCACACUUAUUAUCUCUAACAUACCAUAUAAUUUACUUAUUAUUGUGCCUGUUAUUGACCCACAGGGCAGGAAUAUUUGUCUGCUUAGUUCCAUCUGUUUCUUUAAUCGCUUUAGCACUUAUGCAUCCCUUGUGCCUAAAACGGUGCAUGGCACAAAGCAGCAGCUCCACAAAUAUUUGUUGAAUGAAUGGGAUAAAUGUGUGCUUCCAGGAAAAAAAUGAAGGAGUGAAUGAAGCCAUGAAUACUCAAUUGAACAGUUAGUGGAGAUUGACUGUAUUUUGAUUUUGUGGUUUUAUUUUUCAUUUUGGAGCCAGCUUUUUUUUUCAGGUUUCAAACAUUUCUGUAGGCUUGGGAGGCCUGAGGUUUUGUAUCUAUAUACCUAAAGGAUAAAAACAGUCCUGGAGAUUCAAAACAAUGUUUUGUUGCCUUUUCUUUUAUCUCUUAAAAACCAACAACAUCAACAAUGAGCAGGCUGCCUUAAAUAAGACUGGCAAUGAGGCAGGAAGCAUUAAAAAACAAAACAAAGCAAAAAAUUCCUGGCAGCUUUAAUAUAGCAAUUUUUCUAGCAAUCUGCAUUGGCGUCCAGGUCCAGUGCACCCCACUACAUAUGUAAAACAUCUGACAUGUAUGUGACAGGCCUGAACCCCUGGCUGUUAUGCUGAUUCCCAAACUGGGGUGCAUGAGAUAAAUGCAGGGACCAGGAACCAUCCCUCCAAGUCGAGCUGUGGCUCAGUUCUCAGCCGGGCCAAACGAGUAAUUAUAGCUUCCCACUGUGGUGUGCAGGGCAGGAGGCUGAUUUAAUAAAGGAAGCCUGCUGUCUGUCUCCAGCCUGGCUCUGACUCAUGGAACCAGGGAGUCCCAGCAGCGCUGCCCACAGAGGGUGGUGAGCAGCUGGGGGGUGGGAGGUGAGGGUGGCCGGCUAGCAAAGCCGAAAGCCCAAGAAUGAGGAAACUCCCUGCUUGGCUUGGAGGAACCUGCAGCUGGAGGCAGAGGAAGUGAGGCUCAGACAGAGCAGCUGCUGUUCCAGCAACUGCAGCCAUUGCCGCACCCUUGAAAGGAGGCCCCUGCCGUGUGGAGAUGUAAAAUAAAAUGGCGUUGUACUCCUCAGGCCCCACCAGACCUGGAUCUGCUCCUUUAUGGCUGGUCUCUGAGAGACCCAACCCUUGUUCAUAUUUAUGAUUCAUAAGCUUAAAAGAAAUGCAAGUGGUAUGGGGGAUGUGGCAUUUCCAUGUUGUCUCCACCAUGAACUCCAAAUCUGAAAUGUGUAGGAAGAUCCACAUUUGGCCAGGCAAGAACAACACCAUAAGGAAUGCGAUGUGAAAAGAAGGUGGAGGUCAGGAAUGUGCUGAAUUAUUGGGCCAAUUCCAAUUGCGUUCUGGAAUCCACUCUGGUACCUCGAGGGCUCUUCACUUUCCAGGUUUGAAUCUGGUUGCACAGCAUGGGGCAGUGGAGAAACAGUGGCUUGCAAUCUGGAAUUUAGUCCUGGGUGGUCUUGUCUUUUCUUUUUUUCUGUGGGGAAGAUUGGCCCUGAGCUAACAUCUGUUGCUAAUAUUCCUCUUUUUUUUAUCCUCUCCAAAGCCCCAGUACAUAGUGGUAUAUCCUAGUUGUAGGUCCUUCUAGUUCUUCUAUGUGGGAUGCCACCUCAGCAUGGCCUGAUGAGCACUGUGUAGGUCUGCACCUGGGAUCCAAACUGGAGAACACCAGGUCACUAAAGCAGAGCACACAAACCCAACCACUACGCCACUGGCCCAGCCCACUGGCUGGUCUUUUCUAGUCCUCUCUCACUAACUAGCUCUGCAGCGUUGAUGGAAUUUCUUAGCCUCUGUGGGCCUAAAUUUCUCUACAUUUAAGGUACUGUAGGUGAUUUCAGAGUGCAUCCCUCAAACUGCCUUGUCCACCACUGUAUUCCCAUGAGUACAAUGUCUAAUAAAAAUAAUUAUCACUGGGGCCGGCCUGGUGGUGUAGUGGUUAAGUUCACUUGCUCUGCUUCGGUGGCCCAGGGUUUGCAGGUUCAGAUCCCAGGCGCAGACCUACAUACAGCUCAUCAAGCCGUGCUGUGGCAGUGUCCCAACUACAAAAAAUAGAGGAAGAUUGGCACUGAUGUUAGCUCAAGGACAAUCUUCCUCAGGCAAAAAAAGACAAAGAUUGGCAACAGAUGUUAGCUCAGGCCCAAUCUUCCUCACCAAAAAAACAGGAAUUAUCAUUAUUUUGUAUUAAUAGCAAAAAUUUACAUAGUGCUUAUGGAUGAGAAAACUGAAGUACAGAAUUCUUACAUAAAUUUCCCCAGAUCAUCCAGG